GAUGAACGCUGGCGGCGUGCCUAAUACAUGCAAGUCGAGCGAACAGACGAGGAGCUUGCUCCUCUGACGUUAGCGGCGGACGGGUGAGUAACACGUGGAUAACCUACCUAUAAGACUGGGAUAACUUCGGGAAACCGGAGCUAAUACCGGAUAAUCUAUUGAACCGCAUGGUUCAAUAGUGAAAGACGGUUUUGCUGUCACUUAUAGAUGGAUCCGCGCCGCAUUAGCUAGUUGGUAAGGUAACGGCUUACCAAGGCGACGAUGCGUAGCCGACCUGAGAGGGUGAUCGGCCACACUGGAACGGAGACACGGUCCAGACUCCUACGGGAGGCAGCAGUAGGGAAUCUGCCGCAAUGGGCGAAAGCCUGACGGAGCAACGCCGCGUGAGUGAUGAAGGUCUUCGGAUCGUAAAACUCUGUUAUUAGGGAAGAACAAAUGUGUAAGUAACUAUGCACGUCUUGACGGUACCUAAUCAGAAAGCCACGGCUAACUACGUG
rnacentral:rRNA from 1 species